UGUACAUGAGUUACUUGAGUGCAAACUACUUUUUACACUUUCAACUCUGUUGAAAGCAGGUAAAGUAAGCUGAGGACAAAGGGGGAAAGUAGGAAUAAGAGUAAAAAAAUUGGGACGAUGCAAGAGAGCAGACAAACAAAGCCAGAGCUUCUGAAGCCUGCAAAAUCAGUUUGAUAUGAAACAGCUGGAAGACUGUAGGAAGAGCUAAUGGGACUGGGGCAAAGUCAUUGCAAAUGAAGGACCCCGAGGCUGAAGUCAUGGAAAAAUUAUAGGCAUAUUUAUGCCAUUAAAUUUAUCUAAAAGGGAGAAGCUAUACAUCCUCUCUACUGAAGAAGAAUGGAGUUGGGGAUGAAGAACAAGUACUGUGUCUUCACAGUCUACUACAAUGAGAAAAAGGAGGACCAAAGAGAUGAUGCCGAGAGCAUGCAGGAUGCAUUUGAGAGGUUCAGAAGACGUCGGCAGGGGUAAGAAGAGGGAGCUGGAGAUGGAAAAGGAGAAGAGGAGGAGGGCCAGGAGAAAGUUCUUCUCUUUCUCCUAGGUUGUUGUUAGUUGACAUGAAGACAACUUCAGCUUAUGGCAACCCUUAUGAACGAGACACUAUGCCAGUGGUUCUCAGUGGCCUACAACUCCCAGAAAUCCCAGUUUACCAGCUGUUAGGAUUUCUGGGACUUGAAGGCCAAAACAUCUGGAGACCCACAGGUUGAGGGCCACUGCACUAUGCCAUCAAUUGUCUCUCUCAGGUAAACCCAGGGCAUAUCAAGUUGGGUGCCUCCCAACGACAUCCGAUGUGGAUCAGUGGGUCUUGAUGAUCAUAUUUAUAUUAAUAUUAAGAACAGCAGUUAUUCUGGCAUUCUAAGAUGAGUCUGGGUCCGGGAGAGCAGUGCCUCCCAGUUACGUCCAGUGUGGAUCAAUGGGUCUUGAUGGUCAUAUUUAUAUAAAUAUUAAGAACAGCAGUUAUUUUGGUACCCUAAGCUGAGUCUGGGAGAGGAGUGCCUCUCAAUUACAUCCAAUGUGUAUCCAUGGGCCUUGAUGAUAAUACUUAUAUUAAUAUUAAGACAGCAGUUAUUCUAGCACCCUAAGCUGAGUCUGGGAGAGGAGUGCCUCUCAAUUACAUCCAAUGUGUAUCCAUAGGCCUUGAUGGUCAUAUUUAUAUUAAUAUUAAGAACAGCAGUUAUUCUGGCACCCUAAGCUGAGUCUGGGAGAGGAGUGCCUCCCAAUUACAACCAAUGUGUAUCCAUGGGCCUUGAUGAUAAUAUUUAUGUUAAUAGUAAGAACAGCAGUUAUCCUGGCACCCUAAGCUGAGUCUGGGAGAGGAGUGCCUCCCAAUUACAACCAAUGUGUAUCCAUAGGCCUUGAUGGUCAUAUUUAUAUAAAUAUUAAGAACAGCAGUUAUUUUGGUACCCUAAGCUGAGUCUGGGAGAGGAGUGCCUCUCAAUUACAUCCAAUGUGUAUCCAUAGGCAUUGAUUGUCAUAUUUAUAUUAAUAUUAAAAACAGCAGUUAUUCUGGCACCCUAAGCUGAGUCUGAGAGAGCAGUGCCUCCCAAUUACAUCCAAUGUGUAUCUAUGGGUCUUGAUGGUAAUAUUUACAUUAAUAUUAAGAACAGCAGUUAUUCUGGUACCCUAAGCUGAGUCUGGGAGAGCAGUGCCUCCCAAUUACAUCCAAUGUGUAUCCAUGGGCCUUGAUGAUUAUAUUUAUAUUAAUAUUAAGCAGUGAUUCUGGCACUCUAAACUGAGUCUGGGUCUGAGACUCA
ensembl:lncRNA